ACCAGUUAACCCACUGUUCCUAGGCCAGUUAACCCACUGUUCCUAGGCCAGUUAACCCACUCUUCCUAGACCAGUUAACCCACUGUUCCUAGGCCAGUUAACCCACUGUUCCUAGGCCAGUUAACCCACUCUUCCUAGACCAGUUAACCCACUGUUCCUAGACCAGUUAACCCACUGUUCCUAGGCCAGUUAACCCACUGUUCCUAGGCCAGUUAACCCACUGUUCCUAGGCCAGUUAACCCACUGUUCCUAGGCCAGUUAACCCACUGUUCCUAGGCCAGUUAACCCACUGUUCCUAGACCAUUAACCCACUGUUCCUAGGCCAGUUAACCCACUGUUCUUAGGCCAGUUAACCCACUGUUCCUAGGCCAUUAACCCACUGUUCCUAGGCCAGUUAACCCACUGUUCCUAGACCAGUUAACCCACUGUUCCUAGACCAGUUAACCCACUGUUCCUAGACCAGUUAACCCACUGUUCCUAGACCAGUUAACCCACUGUUCCUAGACCAGUUAACCCACUAGACCAGUUAACCCACUAGACCAGUUAACCCACUGUUCC